CCUACGGGAGGCAGCAGUGAGGAAUAUUGGUCAAUGGGCGAGAGCCUGAACCAGCCAAGUCGCGUGAGGGAGUACUGCCCUAUGGGUUGUAAACCUCUUUUGUCGGGGAGCAAAAGCCGGACGUGUCCGGCUGUGAGAGUACCCGAAGAAAAAGCAUCGGCUAACUCCGUGCCAGCAGCCGCGGUAAUACGGAGGAUGCGAGCGGUAUCCGGAUUUAUUGGGGUUAAAGGGUGCGCAGGCGGAUUUUUAAGUCAGCGGUCAAAUCGUGGGGCUCAACCCCAUCCAGCCGUUGAAACUGGGGAUCUAGAGUGUGCGAGAGGUAUGCGGAAUGCGUGGUGUAGCGGUGAAAUGCAUAGAUAUCACGCAGAACCCCGAUUGCGAAGGCAGCAUACCGGUGCACAACUGACGCUCAGGCACGAAAGCGUGGGUAUCGAACAGGAUUAGAUACCCCUGUAGUC
rnacentral:rRNA from 1 species